AGAGCGAUUGCAACAAUUCCAACCGUAAUAUUUGUGCAAAAUUAUUGCAAAUGAGGAGUCCAAUAAUUUAAACGAGAAGUUGACAUCGGGUUAUUCCGACAACGACAGCCCAUUUUCUCAGGUUUGUUUCGAAAAAAGAAUUUUACUGGACAAAAACAGCAAAACUUGAAAUAUAACAUUCAAAAUUGUGCAAACCAAACCUGUCAACUGUUCAAGAGAUGGAAAUGUCAUUUCAAUUACGUUUCGCACACAAUGUCAUAUUCAUUGGCAGACAAAAUCAACUCAACAAAUAAAAACAACACAUAUCGUAAAAAAAAUUAAACGUAAAUUUGAACACGUCUAUCAUCAUUUCACAUCGAAGUCGAAAGAAGAAUAAAACAAUUUGUCCUGAAAAGUACAAAAAUUUAUUGGCAUUUGUUGCAAUUCAAUCGAACUUGGUUUUAUACGGAGUGAAAUACAGUUUCCAAUAAAAAUAAUCGAAUAAAAAUGGAGGAGCUAUUGAACGAAACAGUUUCGCAAGCAGAAUUACAGAAAUUCGAAAAGAAUUACAAAAGGGAGCUCGAGGAAAAGGGUGGACAAGUUGCAGUUCAAACACAAUUCGAAUAUGCAUAUUGCUUGGUGCGCAGCGAAUAUCCAGCCGAUAUCAAAAAGGGGAUUUUCAUGCUUGAGGACCUUGCAGAAAAGCAUUCGCAGGGCAAUCGUGACUACAUUUAUUAUUUAGCCAUUGGAAAUGCCCGAAUCAAGAAUUAUUCGGUAGCAUUGAAAUUUUGCAAGGCAUUUCUACAGAUCGAGCCCAACAACCAACAAGCCAUCACAUUGGAGGAGCACAUACGGAAAAAGAUGGAAAAAGAGACGAUGGCUGGCGUAGCUGUUGCUGGUGGUGCUGCAUUGGUAUUGGGCGGUUUGGUUGGACUUGGUCUGGCGCUUGCUUCUAGAAAGUAGGAUUUAUUCCAUUCAUUCACCAUCAUCAAUUUUUUUUUCGUUUUUGAAUUUUCAUGUGAUAAAAAUCAUUAUUACUCUCGCUCGAUUAUUUGUUAAUACGUUUCCGUUUCAUUUCCAACAAAAAAACAAACUUGAUUUGUGAAUUGUUCGCUUUUUUCUGUUUUGAUUACCAAAGCGAAUAUAAAUUUUAACAUAGAAUUAUUGAUGUCAUGUCGAAGCAAUGAUAUUUGAAAUCAAACAAACGAGUCUUCUCUCGAAAUUCUAAAGAAUAAUUUUGCAUUAGCUCAUGAAAGACGUAUAUAGAAAAUGUUGCGCUAGUUUAAAACAGCAAAGCGAAUACAAGAUUGAUUUGUUCCAAGGUUUAUAAUUUAUUCAUGUAUAACUUUUUGUUCAUUACACUUUAAAGAAAGGUUUGUCAAUGAAAUUUUUCUUAAUAAAAAGAACCGAGAUGCAGCUGAAACAUAGCAAAAAAAAAACAAUUAUUGUGUAUUAGUGCAGUAUUUUAUGCAGACAUGCAAAUCUAACUAACACAGAAGAUACAUUCAUCGCACCAUUAAUUUCGUGUUAUUUUUCCUCUAUUGUUGUUCAUAUUUCGAUGUUCCCCCUUAAUUGAUGUUGUUUUCACAAUAUAAUCACACAUUCUACAACCUCUUUUCUUUCUUCAUUUCAGUAAAAACAAAGACAAAGACAAUGAAAAAAAGUAAUUUCCCAAUGAUCUCCGUGGCGCGCGCGCGCGGUGCAACCAUCUAUCAAAUCUAAUAUACUAUAACGCACAUGACCAAAAAAAAAUCCAUCUUUUCAGAAAUCAUGAAUUCCGAUCAUAUUAAAAUAUGUUGUGAUUGUGUCUAUUUUUGUGUGUAAGGAAUAAAAGCCUAUUUUGUUACCCAUGCUAGUUUGGUCAAGACAUAUUUUUUUUGCAGUAUUUUGAAAAGAAAUGAAGAAAAAAAAACAAAAUAUAUUUUCUUGUUGAAAUUUGAAAUGAAAUAAAAUUAUUUAUCGCUCAUGUUUUGUCUACCAAAAUACAUGGUUUUUGAUUAUGUGUGUAUUCUAAUUGAAAUUCUGUAUCCCCUCUCCCCCAAAAAAGUUUGCGUGGCUAAUAUAAGCGGUCAUACAAAUGAUUCGUUAUACACUAGCUACUGAUUUAAUAUAUGAAGGUAGCAAUUUGUUGCGCCAAUAUUGUGUUUAACGAGAUAAAUUGCUCUUGAUUCGUACAAAACAGUAAUAAGGUGCCGCAUGUAGUAUAUAAUAAAGUGGCCCAACGCUAUAUUCCAAAUCUCUGUUUCUUAUGAGCCAUUUAAACGGUCACAUUCUCUAUCCCAUUCUAGUGUUUUUUUUCCUUCACUAAACACAAUGAUUUAUUGCGUUGCAAAGAGUGGUUUUUAAACCCUAUUCCAACUAGUUGAAUGUCUCUUUGUCUGCUUAAUACUAAUAAUAAAUGUGUAAAUAAAUAAAUUGAAAAUAUUUACAAUUUCAUCAAAAUCAUACAAUAAAAAAAGAAUCGUAUUGAUAAACUCAUAGGUAGGUUAACUUGUACAAAUCAUCAUCAUCAAUAUGGAUGUUGGAAAGAAAGAAACAACGAAAUCCCUCUUCAUUUUGGUUUCAAAUUUAAAGCUCACAGGAAUUCCAUUAUAGGGUAAUCAUUAUAAAAUACACUUAAACUAUCCCUUUACGCUAUUGCUAGACUUCCAAAGAAGAAAAAAGAAGAACAAAUCAGAUUACAUAAAUACGUUAACGUUAGAAGAGAAGUGUAAUCGUGUCGAUUUUGGUUUUGGUACAAAUUAUAUAAAUAGUUUCAAGAUAUAAGACAAUUGCAUGGUUGGUUGCACUAUGUUCCGUGUGUAUGUAUAUGCGUCGUGUCUCUCCUACCACACAGCGCAUGGAGAACGGCCACCUAUAUGACUGUAGCGAUGGAACAGUAAAGCCAUAUAGUUCACCGAAUUUCAGCUGAUGCCACUGGUCAUUGAUAUGAACUGCGCCUUGUAAUAGUACGCACAAAUGCCAAUUACAAUUGAGAAUGCUGUCGUUGCCAAUGCGGUUCGUCUACUCCACAUCAUUUGCGGUAUGAGACGAUUGAUCAAUGAGUGUUUUGCAGCUUCUUUGCGUUGAAUACGCAGACGUCGAGCUUCCGCUGCCGCUUUUGCUGCCUUUAUUUCCUUUUCUCGUUGUUGCUUUCUGUUGAAUUGGGCGACAGAUUUGAUUUUGAUUAUUAGUAUGAAAAAAUCAAUUGGAAAUUUGAAUUGAUCCAAAAUCCAAAUUGGUUGAGUCGGAGAAUUCAAGUUCAAAAUUUAUUGAUUCAGAAUUCAAAGAUACAAAAAAAAACUCACUCUUGUUCAACCAUCACUUGAACUUCGAUUUCGAUUUCUUCUGGUGGAUGUUUGUUGUAUAAAUUGGCUGCAUUUUGUAACAAAUACUCAAACGGCAAAUCUUCCGGUAGCUAAAAACAUGAAUAGGUUUCAUUAAAAGUUUAUCUCAAGAAAAAUCUUUCGAUGGUAUCGAAUCAACUUUUUGAGAGCUAUUCUCUAGAAUAAACACUUCACACGAAAAACAAAAACCGUUGAUGUCUUUACCUGUGAGAGAAGACAAUGCAAGCUAGCCAUAUCACAAUCCUCUUUGAAAAUGUCAUCCUCUCGAUACAGAACAAUGGCAACCGUAACAUAUAACGGCAUUAGGAAUGGCGACGCUAGGAAAUAGUCGUACAGCCGAACGACACUUCGGUAUGAAUUCAAACUGUGACCGAACCACGUUAAAAACCAAGGCAGUGCAAACAGUGUUCCAACAGACGAUCUGUGAAUGGUAAAGAUUAUCGUUAGCAUAAGACUAUGUGCAGUUUAGACAGGAUUUUGGUACUAUUUAGAUGCGUACUUCAGUAAAUAAUCACAUAAUUUGGCACUUUCACGACGAAUGAUGGGAUACAAAUACAUGAGACGAUGUUGUGUUGGCUCCAUGGUUUCCUGCAUACAUUCGACUAAAUGGUUUGUUGAUAAUAUUUCCAUCACAUGGAACGCCACCUCUUCACCGACCACUAACAAAAAUGUGAUUGCUACAUCAUGGUAGCCCUAAAAAAAUUGAAAUCACAUGUCUUGGAAGUAAAUCGUAUGUCGAAUAUCUUAUUAGCACCAUGACUUAUUUGCUCUGCGAAUAUCUUAAUAGAUGCAUACAAUCAAUUGUACACCAUCAUACCUGAUAGUAUCGUAAAUGUGGAUAUUUGAUGAUGACGCGAAGAAUCAAUACAGUGAGUUGAUCUUGAAGUGCAAUACGUUGCUCGUAUGGGAUACCCGGUGGAAAACGUUUUAGUGAUCGGUUUACAUCGAGAAUCACUUGAUUGUAUUCACGAUGUGAUUUUAAAUCUUCGAGAUUCGGUGCGGGAUCUACGCUGUUUGGGUCGAUACCAACAAGCCGUGGCCAUACCUGACGCCUCAGAUCAUCUAUUGAUAGGGGACGAAAGGUAAAAUAUCCAUAUUUUAUCAAUUAUUUUACCACUUGCGAAUAAUUGAAUGUGUGUGUACUUACCGCUAACUAGCCCAUAUUCACUUUUAGCAAAUUCCUGCCAUUUACUGAGCACUGUAUUUGGAUCAGCGAGUGCUGCCUCUAUUUUUUGCCUCUUUAACUUUUCUUCAACAUUUUCUGGUACUAAAAAUCAACAGAAAAAAUUAUUAGUAUUAGCCAAUUGUUAUGUCUAUAAAAAUGAUGAGCAAUGUUCAGUUGACCGUAGAAAAUAUCUGGAACAAUUGCAUUCAUAGUGAUUCAAGAGGAAAGAAUUGAUUAUUUUCAUGCAAUAUGUGUGUGAAUGGUAUGAAAUUCCGAAGAAAAAGCAACCGUAAACAUAUCGAAGAAUAGUUGUUGCGUGAAAUGUAAUUCGACCAUGGUGUACACCAUACAUGCGACGAUAAAACUGUUAACUGUGGUCGACUUCAUGGGACGGAAAGUUGACUGAAUAAUAAUUUAAACGAUGAUUCAUUUCUACUAUAUUUGUAAACAAAUGCAUCGGAAUUUAUAUCAUUCAGUUGUUUUUGUUGGUUUUUUUUCUGUGGCUUACCUUUUUCAAAGCUUAAUUCGGUUGGUUCGUCUGACCGUCGUUCUGUACAAACGACAACAUGUCCAUUGGACUUUUGAUCUGAACCGCAAUCAUCUGAAUUAUUUAUCCCGUUCGAUUCAUUGAUGAGUUUGGUAUUUUCGGAAUUUUUGUCAUUCUCCUCAUUCUCCAGUAGUUCACUCGUUUCAAUGAAUUCGAUGUCCUUGACAUCCAACAAUUUUACGAUUUCUUCGUCUUCUGUGACUUUGUCCAUUUUUACGCACUAAAUUGAUCUCAAUGCCAAACAAGAGGAAAGCGAACAAAAACACAAUUCACAGCACAAUUAAAUUCUCAAUUCACUUUUACAUAAUAAACUGUUCACGGCUGGAUUUUUUUCUGUCGUUUUUUAUUCUGUUAUCCAGUUUUAAUCUGAUAUUUCCAUUCGUAAUUUAUAAAUUGAUUGGAUGUGUGCAAUUUGGCCGUGUUUCCGUCGCAAAGCUGUUUCGACUGAAAUUCGUCGUACGAAUAUCAAGUUGAGUUGAAUAAAAAAUUUGACAAGUACGAAAUUGGUCAGAAAUAAAAUAUCAAAACAAUCUCUUACGUUCUCUACCACAAUCGAAGGUAUUUGCGUGCUGGUUCUUUUUUUCUCUUUCUUUACUCGUAAUGAUUCCACAACCAUUUAGUUUGACGUUACGACAAUUGCCAUUGUUUGUGUAUUGAAGUGUCGCAGCUGUUCGUGUAUACGUUGAGCGCGUCGUUCGUUUGGAUCACAUUCAAAUAGCCGAUGAAAGCCUGCGUUGUUGAACGUUUAACAGUGAAACAUUAUUAAUUUUCUUUUUUCUUAUGCUUAUUUACACUCUUUUGAAUUGAUUUUAAUAUGGAGUUGAUGCUUCGAUGACAAUAAACUAGAUCAACCAUAUGAAAAAGCAUGAAAAUGAAAUUCAUUCACCGGUUUUGAGCAACCCUAUCGAAUGCGAAAUAAAACGCGGCAUUCGAACGCGUAUGAGCACGCUGCGUUACAAAUGCUUGACAUGCGUUCCAAAUGGAAGAGCAUUCGCAAUAAAAGGAAAUGUUGCAAGAGUGUUCAGACGAAAUAAGGUACGUGUUCCAUUCGCUUGUGCUUUGGAGAAUAGUGUGGCUCAAAAAAUAAAAAUAAGCGAAAAAAAAUCAACGUUUAACGUUUACUCUCAGUUUCGAUACAAAGUUUGUACCUAUUUCAUUGUGUAUUCGAUUAAAAGUUGCCAAUCAAAAAGACAAGCCGAGAAGGGAGAUACCCAGACAGUGGCAACGCUGAACAUCGACAAAACACGGACGAGAAAUUUAAUUGCUGCUAAAUAAAAAAAAUAUACAGAAACAAAUAAUGGCUGAGGAUUUUGACAUCGAAGCAUUGCUUGAGGCACCAUACAAUGUAAGUACCCACGAAAAAAAAGAGACGCAAAAACACACAUAUCCCACCAGAAACAUUUUCAGAUACACGAUUUCCAUAUAUAGCGUGAAUACUGUCAGAGAAAAAAAAAUGUCAAGACAUAAGAAAUAAUUGUGUGUAGAAUGUAAGUUGAUCAUCGAAAUCAUGUCUAGUACACGGUAAAUAUGCAGUCACACAAACACAUAAUAGACGAAAACCUAUACAAAACUUGGCCACACAAAGUUUGUUUUUUUCCUUUUUUCUUUUCUUCGUUUUGAUUUUUUUCGUUUCCUUUUAACUGUCAUGGACGAUAAUGUACUUUCUAAUUAUAUAUGUUCAACUCUCUUUAUUUAUCCGUUUACAAACCUUGUACCGUUUGUGAGAUAUGGACAUGUGAACAACUUUUUUUGUAUAUUUUUUCGCCGCAAUUUUUUUUUUCUAGAAUUGAAAAUCGUAGAGUUUGUUGUCACCGACCCCUCCCCAUUUUUCUUCUUUUUUUUCUCCUUAAAUUUUAAAUGUAUGCGAAUAAGUGUAUUAAAAUUAUACAGACAAAUAAUUACUUAGAUUGAUAAGCUAAUAUGAUAAAAAAUCAGAAAACAAAAACCAAAUCUUAUUUAAGUAACAAUUGCACUCAAAUAUCCUCGUUUUACAUUUUUAUAGAGAAUUGUUGAUAAACCAGCAACUGCAUCGAUCGAAAACAGCCGAGGUACUUGAAACAUAACAAAAAAAAAACAGUUUUAUUUAAACACAAAAUCAAAAACAGGUCUCUGUUCAUUGAAAAAAAAAACACCAUAAAAACGAGAUUGAAACAAGAAAAUAGCAAUCCAACGAAAACUGAUUGAAAAUAUGCUGUCGCCUCAUUGCAAAAAAAAACACAAAGCGAAAAUUGUCCAUUGUCUAUUUUAUUAUUAUUAUAUCAAAAUUCCCUUUUAUUCCCGAUGAGCUUACACACGCCAUUGGUGUGUCGUCAGACCAGUCCUAUUUUAUUCUCGUUUCCUUUUGGAAAAGUUUUUUUUCCGAAGUUUGGUACAUUUUUGUGCUAAUUUUCUCUUGAAGAAUAGAGCUCAAUCAUAAUCCUGGGCUGCUCAAUGAUAAAAUCAAUUUCCAAGUCAAUGUUAAUGCGACUGAAAAUUAUCGCUCUCAACUCCAAUAUUUUCAUUCAACGCCGAUUUCUAUAUUCCUAUCCUUCAUUCCAUGCUCGUCGUACUUUUUUCUUUCUCUCUCUUUUGUUUUUUUACCAAUAUUUGAAAUCUUUUUUUAAUAUAAUUUUGUGAUUUUCGAACAUUUAGAUAAAAGUAAAUUUAGUUUUUCAAAUUAUAUUUUUUUUUUUGAAUGAAUUGCAAUGAAACCAAAAGAACCAAUUUUAAAACAACCAAAAUGACAUUUCUCGCCUCAGGGUACCAUCUUCAACCAAAUUCUUGAACCGAUGUUAAAGUAAUACCUCCUUCCGACAGAGACUGUUGUGGAAAGUGUGAUACCGAAUACCAAAACAAAAUCCAUUUUUUUGUCUGGUACUUGAAUACUAUCUUUUGUCUAAAUGAAAUUCAGCUGUGGUGAUUUUUACAAAUUUCAUUAUUCAAAAAAAUUAAUGAAAUCUUUUCAACAAAUCUUAUAGAUUUUGAUGAAAACUAAAAAAAAAAACAAAUUAAAAAACAAAUCAAAUCAUACGAGUAUGUAUAACGUUCUGCUCAUCUACCAACUAGGUGUCGAUGUCUCAACAUCCCCAUGGUGUUAUGUGUACCUGUAUAAUUCUCUCUAAACGACACACACACUCACAAAUGAACCAAUGAUGCACACACUAAAUCCACGCGAACGUGUUCGAUAAAAAAAAGACACAGCCAGCCUCUCGAUUGUUUCGCUCGAAAUUGAAUUUCUCUUUUUUCUAGGUGUGGAACACAAAAUCAGCCAAAUGACCAAUUUCAUGAUCAAUUGUUGCAAUUCAUGCAACAUCCAAUCCAAGUCACGAAAUGAGAAAAUGAAAGCGAAUGGUACCAACAAAGAUACAAAAAGAAAAACUCAACUAAAUUUUGUGCUAGGGCAAAUCGCAACAACAAAAUCGUUUUUCGACUUUUGAACCGAUUCCAAUUCAUGUCAAAUUUUUAAACCAAUGACAAUGCAAUGCAAUUUUCAAGACGGACUUGCCAAAUGACAGCUGGCAAGAGAUUGCAAAAGAAAAUCUCGUUUCCACAUUUCACUCAACUCAUCUAUUCUCGCUCCUUUUGUCUCUCUCUCUCUCUCUCUCUGUUUCUAUGUGUGAAAACAUUUGCAUGAAGUAUAUAUAUUAUUAGAAAAGCAAUUUUCAGAACAUAACGAGUCUCGAAGCAGACAUCGUAUGGCUACAAAUGCUGGUAAUUCAAGGGAUAGUGACACAGAAUUCAAAGAUGAUCAUCAUGCGAGAAACCGAAGUUCGACCAAGUCCAUCGACUCGGAAUAUUCGGAUGAUGAUAGUGAAGGCUCUCAACGAAUGUUUAGCCCAGUUUAUUUCAGAAGAUCAACUGAACGUACCUAUUAUAGCCCAAAUUACUGUCCAUGGUCGCGAAAUACAUCGUCUGAACGGGAAAAUUCCGAAUAUUCAUACAAUAUCAAUGCAAAUAAAUCAAGUUCAGCACCAGUAAGUACUCGUACGCCAUGCAUUCGUAUUUGGAUUUAAAGUGCACACGUUUCUUCGUUCUAUGUUUGCCACAUCUCUGUGCAACUAAUUGCAACCAAACGCCUUAAUACAAUGUUAUCCGUUUCAAUGUUAUUUGUCGCAUUUUACUUCAGUGUUGUGAAGAAGCCCACGAAUGUCUGUCAUCAUCGCGGUGUUUCUCUCAUUGUCGCGGUGUUUGGUAAUGGGUUCGUCUUGAAAUGUGUCAUGACCGCGGGUCGCGUCGCACGCAGAACGAUGUCAAUUGUCUGAAAACCAUUUUGUUGUUGGCAAAAAUAGGAAAAAAAAAUCAUGAAUAUCGUCGCACGAGUUGUUUUUUGUUUUUUUAUUAUUAAAAUCGGGUCUAUCUUUUGCAGAACCAUGUUCGAUAGUUGAACCACAGUCUUACUCAUACUCGGUCGAGUCGAAUUCAAUAACAAUUUGAAUAAAUGAAUAAUAAAUCCACACAAACACACAAAAUUCAAAAUCGUUAAUCGCUUAUUCAAAAAUGCACACACAAAGAAAAAUAAAAAUACUAUGCGUCACAUAAUCAUAUGGUUUAACGGUAAGUUGGUCAACAGUUCGCAGGUUGAAGUGAUGAAGUGGCGCGUGUACAGAAAUCACCAGAAAAAUGGAUGUGUCUCGAUACGUUUUUCUCUCUCUUUCAUUUAUAACCAAUUCUCUUUUAGCUAGGAUGUAAAUUUAGUGCAAUUUUCCAAAGAGCAAAUUUAAGAAGAAUGAAAAAAAAACCUAGAUUUUAUUACAUACCUCAUCAUCAGAAACAACUAUUUAUACAUACAAUA